AAUGAACGCUGGCGGCAUGCCUAACACAUGCAAGUCGAACGAGAACAUGGGGUCUUGUGGCGCCCGGGUGCGUAAGGGGUGGGAACCUGACCACAGGUUUGGAAUAACUACCAGAAAGGGAUGAUAAUACGGGAUAAUAUCUUAGGCCCAAAGAUAUAUCGAACUUGGAUGUGCACGCGUUGCAUUAGCUAGUUGGUAGGGUAAAAGCCUACCACGGCGACGAUUCAUAGCUGGUUAGAGAGAAUGGUCAGCCACUCUUGGACUGGGACGCGGCCCAGACUCCUACGGGAUGCAGCAGUGGCUGAUAGUGGACAGCGGCCGGAGUGCUGAUGGACCAAUGCCGGGUGAGUGAUGUUGGCCUUAAAGUUGUAAUGCUCUUUUACCCAGGAUGAUAAUGACGGUACCUGGAGAAUAAGCCCCGGCUAACUACGUG
rnacentral:rRNA from 1 species